CAAGUGCAAAGCAAAUCUGAACUCGAUCAGAAGAGUUAGUAUUUUAAGUUUAAAAAAAGUAAAAAGGACUAAAAUUUUAGCAAUUAAAACAAUGUAAUCCACCAUUUUCGGCUUCUUUUUUAAAAAUAAAUUUCAACUGAUAAAAAAAAUAAUGGGAGAAAAACCCACAGAGCGGUAAAAAUGGCGGAUUUGAAGCAGUCUGUUUGUGCAGUUUGUUUGGAAUAAAAAGGCGAAUAUUCAAAAUUGUUAUCAAAAGUACAACCAUCUAUAGCAAAUUAGAUCAAAGAGUAUAUUUGAUCUAAGUACAAUAAAGAUUUCAUUGUUUGCCCUGACGUAAUAUGUUCAAAUUGUAGAAGAAACAUAUUUUUGCUGGAGAAGGGAUCAAGCAUUUAUUUGUCAAACUGGAUGAAUAAAGUAUCUCAAAUUGACAGGCCAAGAAUAAGAUGCAGUACUGAACUUAGUGAUAUUGUUUAACCAUCUCGUGGUAAAACACUAGCUGUAGGAUCUCCAAAGGAAAAUAUAUGUAGUUGCUGCUUUUCUCUCCUUGCAAGAGGAGAUCAUAGCAAUUGUAGUUCUGGUCAGGCUGUUUUAAACCUAAUUAGUUUGUCAGAAAACCUUGAUUCCACAUUGUGUGAACAAGUUGUUUCAGACAUUAUUAAAAACAAGAUGAAGCGAGAAGGCAUAGAGAGAGGGCAAUCCUUUAAAAUAUCUUUAAGUGGGAAUCCAUUAACUUUAACCGUUGGAACUAAAAAAAAUAAAUCUUCCAGAAAGUCUUUCUAUCAGAUAUCAUUCUAAACAGUAAUGGAGUUAACUUCUAUACUGGAAUUAACAAAAAAUCAAACAAAUCAAGUCUGCGUAAGAAUCUAGGGUCGUCUACUGAUGUUGAGAACAAUGUAGUUAGCAUGAUGACAUCAUUGCAACAAGAAGUUGAGUAUAAGUAUAAAAUAGAGCAAGAUGAUUUUAUUUGGAAUGAUGAAACUGUAACAAGAGAUAUAGCAUUUAUUUAUAACACUUCUGAAUUUAUUCUUAGUAUUUUAAUGGAAAGAGGUUUAGAUCCUCUUUCCAGUAUGGUAUGUGUAUCCAUUGAUGGAGGUCAAGGAUUUCUUAAAGUAAUUGUAAAUGUCUUUGACAAGACCAAUAACAAUGAGAUACACAUGAACAGUGGAGUUAAAAAGUUUUUUAUACUUGCUAUUGUUGAAGAUAUUUCUAAAGACCAUGGAAAUUUGCAGAAAAUCUUGCGUAGAUUAAAUCUAGAUGAUGUUACAUAUCACCUUGCAUUUGAUUUAAAAUGUGCUAACAGCAUUUUCGGUUUAUCUUCUCAUUCUGGUAAAUAUACCUGCUUAUGGUGUGAAGGUGAAUGUACCACUACUUGAUAGACUACUUUUAGAUCAUUUGCCUCUGCUUAUGAAUUGGAUAUGGUAAAUGAUCUACUUUAGAUUUAUCCAAUACACAAAAAUAACAUCUUUUAGCAGCAUUUAUCUUAAUAUAAAAAAAAAUUAGACGUGGGGAGAAGUUCAAUUUGGCGGUCUUUAUGGCACACAGUGACAGACGCUAUAAUAUUUUAAAACUGCCUUAACUACACCGAGAUACUGAUUUUUAUGAAUU
rnacentral:lncRNA from 1 species